UGGGGAAUAUUGCACAAUGGGCGCAAGCCUGAUGCAGCCAUGCCGCGUGUAUGAAGAAGGCCUUCGGGUUGUAAAGUACUUUCAGCGGGGAGGAAGGGAGUAAAGUUAAUACCUUUGCUCAUUGACGUUACCCGCAGAAGAAGCACCGGCUAACUCCGUGCCAGCAGCCGCGGUAAUACGGAGGGUGCAAGCGUUAAUCGGAAUUACUGGGCGUAAAGCGCACGCAGGCGGUUUGUUAAGUCAGAUGUGAAAUCCCCGGGCUCAACCUGGGAACUGCAUCGGAUAAUGGCAAGCUUGAGUCUCGUAGAGGGGGGUAGAAUUCCAGGUGUAGCGGUGAAAUGCGUAGAGAUGUGGAGGAAUACCGGUGGCGAAGGCGGCCCCCUGGACAAAGACUGACGCUCAGGUGCGAAAGCGUGGGGAGCAAACAGG
rnacentral:rRNA from 1 species